AUGAACGCUGGCGGCGUGCCUAAUACAUGCAAGUCGAGCGAACGGACGAGAAGCUUGCUUCUCUGAUGUUAGCGGCGGACGGGUGAGUAACACGUGGAUAACCUACCUAUAAGACUGGGAUAACUUCGGGAAACCGCAGCUAAUACCGGAUAAUAUUUUGAACCGCAUGGUUCAAAAGUGAAAGACGGUCUUGCUGUCACUUAUAGAUGGAUCCGCGCUGCAUUAGCUAGUUGGUAAGGUAACGGCUUACCAAGGCAACGAUGCAUAGCCGACCUGAGAGGGUGAUCGGCCACACUGGAACUGAGACACGGUCCAGACUCCUACGGGAGGCAGCAGUAGGGAAUCUUCCGCAAUGGGCGAAAGCCUGACGGAGCAACGCCGCGUGAGUGAUGAAGGUCUUCGGAUCGUAAAACUCUGUUAUUAGGGAAGAACAUAUGUGUAAGUAACUGUGCACAUCUUGACGGUACCUAAUCAGAAAGCCACGGCUAACUACGUG
rnacentral:rRNA from 1 species